rnacentral:rRNA from 1 species
CCUACGGGUGGCAGCAGUGAGGAAUAUUGGUCAAUGGACGAGAGUCUGAACCAGCCACGUAGCGUGAAGGAUGACUGCCCUAUGGGUUGUAAACUUCUUUUAUAUAGGAGUAAAAUGUUCCACGUGUGGGAUUUUGUCUGUACCAUAUGAAUAAGGAUCGGCUAACUCCGUGCCAGCAGCCGCGGUAAUACGGAGGAUCCGAGCGUUAUCCGGAUUUAUUGGGUUUAAAGGGUGCGUAGGUGGAAGGUUAAGUCAGUUGUGAAAGUUUGGGGCUCAACCGUAAAAGUGCAGUGGAAACUGGCAGUCUUGAGUACAGUAGAGGUAGGCGGAAUGCGUGGUGUAGCGGUGAAAUGCUUAGAUAUCACGAAGAACUCCGAUUGCGAAGGCAGUUGACUGGACUGCAACUGACACUGAGGCUCGAAAGUGUGGGUAUCAAACAGGAUUAGAUACCCGGGUAGUC